GACGAACGCUGGCGGCGUGCUUAACACAUGCAAGUCGAACGGAAAGGCCCUGCUUUUGUGGGGUGCUCGAGUGGCGAACGGGUGAGUAACACGUGAGUAACCUGCCCUUGACUUUGGGAUAACUUCAGGAAACUGGGGCUAAUACCGGAUAGGAGCUCCUGCUGCAUGGUGGGGGUUGGAAAGUUUCGGCGGUUGGGGAUGGACUCGCGGCUUAUCAGCUUGUUGGUGGGGUAGUGGCUUACCAAGGCUUUGACGGGUAGCCGGCCUGAGUGGGUGACCGGACACAUUGGGACUGAGAUACGGCCCAGACACCUACGGGAGGCAGCAGUGGGGAAUAUUGCACAAUGGGCGGAAGCCUGAUGCAGCAACGCCGCGUGCGGGAUGACGGCCUUCGGGUUGUAAACCGCUUUCGACUGUGACGAAGCGUGAGUGACGGUAAUGGGUAAAGAAGCACCGGCUAACUAC
rnacentral:rRNA from 1 species